rnacentral:rRNA from 1 species
UGAAAGAUUUCUUCGGAAUGAAUUUGAUUUAGUUUAGUGGCGGACGGGUGAGUAACGCGUGAGUAACCUGCCUUCAAGAGGGGGAUAACAUUCUGAAAAGAAUGCUAAUACCGCAUGACAUAUUGGAACCACAUGGUUUUGAUAUCAAAGAUUUUAUCGCUUGAAGAUGGACUCGCGUCCGAUUAGUUAGUUGGUGAGGUAACGGCUCACCAAGACCGCGAUCGGUAGCCGGACUGAGAGGUUGAACGGCCACAUUGGGACUGAGACACGGCCCAGACUCCUACGGGAGGCAGCAGUGGGGGAUAUUGCGCAAUGGGGGCAACCCUGACGCAGCAACGCCGCGUGAAGGAUGAAGGUUUUCGGAUUGUAAACUUCUUUUAUUAAGGACGAAACUUGACGGUACUUAAUGAAUAAGCUCCGGCUAACUACGUGCCAGCAGCCGCGGUAAUACGUAGGGAGCAAGCGUUGUCCGGAUUUACUGGGUGUAAAGGGUGCGUAGGCGGCUUUGCAAGUCAGAUGUGAAAUCUAUGGGCUCAACCCAUAAACUGCAUUUGAAACUGUAGAGCUUGAGUGAAGUAGAGGCAGGCGGAAUUCCCCGUGUAGCGGUGAAAUGCGUAGAGAUGGGGAGGAA